GAUGAACGCUGGCGGCGUGCCUAAUACAUGCAAGUCGAGCGAACAGACGAGGAGCUUGCUCCUCUGACGUUAGCGGCGGACGGGUGAGUAACACGUGGAUAACCUACCUAUAAGACUGGGAUAACUUCGGGAAACCGGAGCUAAUACCGGAUAAUAUAUUGAACCGCAUGGUUCAAUAGUGAAAGACGGUUUUGCUGUCACUUAUAGAUGGAUCCGCGCCGCAUUAGCUAGUUGGUAAGGUAACGGCUUACCAAGGCAACGAUGCGUAGCCGACCUGAGAGGGUGAUCGGCCACACUGGAACUGAGACAGGGUCCAGACUCCUACGGGAGGCAGCAGUAGGGAAUCUUCCGCAGUGGGCGAAAGCCUGACGGAGCAACGCCGCGUGAGUGAUGAAGGUCUUCGGAGCGUAAAACUCUGUUAUUAGGGAAGAACAAAUGUGUGAGUAACUAUGCACAUCUUGACGGUACCUAAUCAGAAAGCCACGGCUAACUACGUG
rnacentral:rRNA from 1 species